rnacentral:lncRNA from 10 species
AUUCGGGGAGGUCUCAUCAAUUUGGGCCUGAGGAAAAUUCAGGUGGAAGACAAUUAAAUAACUAACCACCUCCGCAAGGUGCAGAACUCAAACCCAAGUCUCCCUCCCACGCCCUGGGCUCCAGGGAAGCCCUUGGGUGUUGUUGUUGAAACAGGACGAGGCGUGACCCCGGGUCUGCGUUGUUUGGCGUGGGUUCUCACUAUGUUGCUUAAGCUGGUCCAGAACUCAAGCCAGUCUCUCACUUCAGCCUCUUGAGUCGUUGGGAUUACAGAAGCCACCAUGUCCAACUGUAAGUUCAAAUUUUUUAUAUUAACUUUAUAGAUAAAAAACAAAACAAUGAAACUUCAGUGUGUUGUUGUCUUGGAUUUUCUUUUGUUUUGAGCAGAAAGGGGAUUCAUUGGAGGAAAAUUAGGUAGCCCAAAUAGUAAACAAGAAGUCUAGAGAACCAGGCUCAGAAAAUGGGAAGGAACGAGGAGAGUCCGAACAGCAAAGACAUAGAUAAGACCAAC